UACGUAGGGUGCGAGCGUUAAUCGGAAUUACUGGGCGUAAAGCGUGCGCAGGCGGUUUUGUAAGUCAGAUGUGAAAUCCCCGGGCUUAACCUGGGAAUGGCAUUUGGGACUGCAAGGCUCGAGUGCGGCAGAGGAGACUGGAAUUCCUGGUGUAGCAGUGAAAUGCGUAGAUAUCAGGAGGAACACCGAUGGCGAAGGCAGGUCUCUGGGCUGACACUGACGCUCAUGCACGAAAGCGUGGGGAGCAAACAGG
rnacentral:rRNA from 1 species